AGUGAACGCUGGCGGUAGGCCUAACACAUGCAAGUCGAACGACAGCACAGUAAGAGCUUGCUCUUACGGGUGGCGAGUGGCGGAUGGGUGAGGAAUACAUCAGAAUCUACUUUUUCGUGGGGGAUAACGUAGGGAAACUUACGCUAAUACCGCAUACGACCUACGGGUGAAAUCAGUAGAUAUUCGCACCUUUCGUGAUUGUAUUAGACGGCGUCGGAUUAGCUAGUUGGGUGGGUAAAGGCCCACCAAGGCGACGAUGCGUAGCGGGUCUGAGAGGAUGAUCAGCCACACUGGAACUGAGACACGGUCCAGACUCCUACGGGAGGCAGCAGUGGGGAAUAUUGGGCAAUGGGCGCAAGCCUGAUCCAGCCAUACCGCGUGAGUGAAGAAGGCCUUCGGGUUGUAAAGCCCUUUUGUUGGGAAAGAAAAGAUGCAUGUUAAUAUCCCGCUGUUCUGACGGUACCCAAAGAAUAAGCCCCGGCUAACUUCGUG
rnacentral:rRNA from 1 species